GUUGCAGCUAGGCUCUUGGCCUGCUCGUGCACUUUGCCAUCGCUGCCAAAGAUGAAGACAUUUUCCCAGGCAAAGCCGAAACCGAACCGAGCCGAACGGUCAGCCAAAUCAUCAACAACAAAAACAAAAGCAAAAGGCAAAAUGCGUACAUUAUGCGAGCGGCGAUCCAUGCGUGGGAAUAGGAAACACACAGAGUAAGAGUGAGAGCGAGAGGCGACAAUAACGUAUGACGAAACCACACAGCAGAUGCGGGAGGCGGUGAAAGAUGUUGACCCCCCUUAAAAUGGGGCGUUGUUGUAAUACUGUUGUAAUAACUGUAAGCUACUGUUUUUUUUUUUGCCGUAUUUGACACACAAUUCGCGCUGAUGGGAAAACGAUAAAACAAUAACACAAUUAUAAAAGACAGCGUUUUGAAAUGCUUGAGAAACAGAAA